rnacentral:rRNA from 1 species
UACAGAGGUCUCGAGCGUUAGGCGGAAUCACUGGGCUUAAAGCGUGUGUAGGCGGAUUGCUAAGUACCUUGUGAAAUCCCCAGGCUCAACCUGGGAACUGCGUCUGAUACUGGAUGGCUUGAAUCCGGGAGAGGGAUGCAGAAUUCCAGGUGUAGCGGUGAAAUGCGUAGAUAUCUGGAGGAAUACCGGUGGCGAAGGCGGCAUCCUGGACCGGCAUUGACGCUGAGGAGCGAAAGCCAGGGGAGCAAACGGG